rnacentral:tRNA from 1 species
AUUUUAGUAGCUUAAGAAAAAGCGUAAUAUUGAAGUUAUUAAGAUAGUUGUUAUUCUCUAAAAUA